AUUGAACGCUGGCGGCAGGCCUAACACAUGCAAGUCGAGCGAGCGGCGGACGGGUGAGUAAUGUCUGGGAACCUGCCUGAUGGAGGGGGAUAACUACUGGAAACGGUAGCUAAUACCGCAUACCAUCAGAUGUGCCCAGAUGGGAUUAGCUAGUAGGUGGGGUAAAGGCUCACCUAGGCGACGAUCCCUAGCUGGUCUGAUAGGAUGACCAGCCACACUGGAACUGGGACACGGUCCGGACGCCGACGGGAGGCAGCAGUGGGGAAGAUGGCAAAAUGGGCGCAAGCCUGAUGCAGCCAUGCCGCGUGUGUUAAGAGGGCCUUCGGGUGUUAAUGCACUGUCAGCGGGGAGGCGUUACCCGCAGAAGAAGCACCGGCUAACUCCGUGCUAGCAGCCGCGGUAAUUC
rnacentral:rRNA from 1 species